ensembl:lncRNA
CAGAAGGCAGAAGUGAAAGAGAGGGUGGAGAUUGCAUGAGAUGAACCUAUGGGCACACUGACGAAGUCACGACUGAUUGUGUGUUUUAAUGUGAGCGAGUGUGACAGCACUUAUGUUAGUUGGAUUUGUGAUUAAACGCUUAGAAAUGAAGCUCUCCUGCCCUCUGAUCUGUGGGAUCAUUUUGUCCUGGAUUUGCUUCAGAGUUUCAAGUGAGAAUCUGUCUGUGACUCAGAGUCCACCCAACAUCACUGUGAAUGAAGGAGAAUCUGCUCAAAUCAAAUGCUGCUGGAAUGAAAUCAUACAGAAUGUUAAAGUUGCUUGGUACAUCAAUGAGAAAAAACAAAAGCAGGAUCUCCAAGGACAUAAAACAUGUGCAGUUCUGAACCUCACAAACAUACUUAAAAAUGCUUCAGGUCAUUAUGUUUGUGAAGUGACUCAAGACAUACCAGUCCUGCUUCAGGAGAAUGGUAGUGGAACAGUCAUAACUGUCAGCGACAUACUAUAUAACAAAACAGAGACUGUUUCUAGCCAGCCUCAAACCACUCAGACUGCACACAGUGACACUUCACCUCUAUCUCUGCCUUUGUCUCUGGCUGCUGCCGUCGGCCUGCUGACCCUCUGCUUGGCCUUCAGUGUGUGCAAGAUGAGAAACUCCUGUAAAAAAUCAGAGCGAGUGGUCAUUCACCAGACGCCUAACAGUGAGGGUGAGGAGCAUGAGCACAUGGAAGAAGAGGACGGCAGCACGGGCUCCUCUCGAGGAUCCCUCCAAUGGUAUCAAGUGCCUGUUUACUGGUCUUACUUUGAUCUACAGAGGGGUGAAGACCAGUGACAACCAGAAAGGAAAGACAAACGUGAUGUUCAGUUCACUGGAUUGCAUUUUGCAUUCUCUCCCCUUUCAUGAGAGCAUUUUUGUAAAUAGCAGAAGUGAUUUUAAUCUUCAGAUAGGCUUCUUGAAACCCUCAGUUAAAGCUCUUGAUUGUGCUAGCAGAUGUUAAUCUCUCUGUUUGUAUAGCAGCUCUAUUGAUUUGUUUUUUCUUAUUUUAAUUUCUUUUACAUUUUUUUUAUGAGAGAUUUCUUUAAUUAAAAUGAAGAUGUGUCAUACUGACACGCAUGAAAAACUACUUGGAUUUCAUGCCCAGACAGAUGUAAAAAAGUUUUAUAAUAAAGAGUUUUAUGCUGUACA